ensembl:lncRNA
GAAAAAACAGAAAGGUGCUUGGUAUAAAUCUGGAGUAAAUAUGCCGGAUGACAGCAAUUCUGCCAAUGGGAAAGAAGAGCUGAAUGAGUUCUUUAUUUUCCACUUCGAGAUUUGAAUCCUGUAAGCCAGUAAUUUUUAAACAGUUGAAGAAACAAGAUGGGAAGACUGGAAAAAUAGAUGUCAUUCUCUAUUAUGACCUAAAAAGGAAAGAAAACACAAAAGGCGUCUGCAAUCCUGACAUACCCUGAAGUUCCUUAGCCCCCUUCUGCAAAAUGUACAUGGAUAUGCGGUGUGAGUUAUUGCCAGGAAGACAACUCUCCCAUCCUUCCUCUCGUCUGAAACAUUCACUGUGCAACAAAUUUGUCUGGCUCUUGAAGCAGCCAUCAAUCUGUGCCAUGUCUGCCGCAGCUUGUUAGCAUCCAGGUUGAUAAGCAAUCUGAAUGCCUGCUGAGGACUAAAGUUAUUAUUAAACAUCUGAAAGUAAAGAAAAAUUUACAUACAGAUUUGAAUUCCACACAACUGGAUGGGGAAGAUUUGUGCCUUCACUCAAGCCCACAUUCUUAAACUUGCUGGUGGUAACUGCAGUGGAACAAGGGAUGUGCUUCAAGGUGAAAAUGUAUCAGACAGAAUUCCUUUUGAAAGCUUGAGUUUUGCAGUUUAACUUUGAGUAAACAAUUUGUCAGUGUCUAAUUAUUGUGGAUCUAUUUGCCUUGGUGCAUACUGGCUACCAUUAAAAAUGCUAACAGUUAAAAAGGGAACAGCAGCAUAAAAAGAAAUCUUUCUGUUAAAAAGAAAGCUCUGUUUUCCUUUACUUUACUUUAGGCUGCUCCGAAAGUAAUGCUUUCUAUUUUAUGAUGUUGGUCCACAAUGCCAGAGGCAGAUGUUGGUUGUAUGGCAGUAGAGGUUGAACCUUCCCACCAACAUUCCAUCACACGUUGUUGCAUUAUGACAGAUGGCAGCAAAGGGGCAGUCUGAGACAAUGGGGUCUAACAAGGAAGUGUGUAUGAAGCAAAGGGGUGGGGCUGAAUUCCUCCAUGAGGAAAAAAUGGCUAAUGGUGGAGAAAUGUGUUGAAAAAUAGCUUUUUGUAGCUGAGAAUUUUCUCUAUCAAAUAGUGUUGUUGUGUUCUUUGUAUCUGUUGCGGUUUCCAAGGAAAUAACAUUUCCUUAUAUUUCCAAUAUUUUUGAGCAACCUAUGUACAUGCAGGGUGCCCGGGCCCCACCUCUGCUGUGUCACCUGCUCUCGUGGGGACUGGCAGCUUUACAGAGGUCUCUUCACUCUGUUUUCUUCUCCACGUUUGCAAGCCCUUCUCACAUAGCAAUCCCCAACUCCGCUGCAGAACACAGAUGCAGUGGUGCUGAUCACCUCAGAAAAUGAAGGCAGUAGACAAUUUAUCAUGUAGAUUGUCUCACACGUAUCCCUUAAAAUUCACAUCGUCCAAAUACAGCACUUUAUUUUGGCAAGCGGUUAUGUAUUCAGCUUUUAGGUCUUUACUUCUUGGACGAUUCAGAAUGCAGUAAUUCAGGAAGUAAUAUUUUAAAACAUCUAGUACAAGAAAUGGGGCCACUUUCUCAUACUCUAUUGCAACCAUCCAAAGCUAUUCCUUUCAUAGUCUAAAAGAAAGGGGAAGGGACAAAAAAAUGUUCAGAGGGAACUGCCAGCAAAUGCCAUACAUUUCUAUUUCAUUUUUCUAUCUCUUUUAGUGUUCAACUGUCCUAAGUUCUGAAACAUUUCAUUUAAUAACAUGGUAUUAAUUUUGGGAACACCAGAUCUAGUCCUCUUGCCAAGUACAUGGGACUGGUUUGAUAUCUUAGCAAUGAAUAGCACCUUCACCCUUGACUAUUAUUAACUCUUGUAAUGCUAAGUUGGCAUUAUAAUGUUCACAGGGCUUUUCUCUCCAGACCAAAGAAUGAAAGAUUUUAUCAAGGCAUGAAGUACAUUCCAGCAGUAUGGACAAUUUCUUUAUUGCUUAAAGUGUAGCUUUAAAAAUCUAUAGAUCCUACUUAUGAACAAAAAAUUCCUUAUACAGCUGUAUUGUGUUGUUUCCACAUUUGCUUAAACACAGG